rnacentral:rRNA from 1 species
GGCCCUACGGGGCGCAGCAGGGGGAAUCUUCUCACAAUGUGCGAAAGCCUGAUGGAGCGACGCCGCGUGAGCGAAGAAGGCCUUCGGGUUGUAAAGCUCUGUCUGGAGGGACGAAGAAAGUG